UCAAGCGAAUAAGCGCACACGGUGGAUGCCUUGGCGGUCAGAGGCGAUGAAGGACGUGGCAGCCUGCGAAAAGUAUCGGGGAGCUGGCAACAAGCUUUGAUCCGGUAAUGUCCGAAUGGGGAAACCCACCCGCUUGCGGGUAUCCUGCAGUGAAUACAUAGCUGCUGGAAGCGAACCUGGUGAACUGAAAUAUCUAAGUAACCAGAGGAAAAGAAAUCAACCGAGAUUCCGUAAGUAGCGACGAGCGAACGCGGACUAGCCCUUAAGCUGAUUUGGUUCUAGGAAAACGCUCUGGAAAGAGCGGCCAUAGAAGGUGAUAGCCCUGUAUCUGAAAGGGCCAUUUCAGUGAAGACGAGUAGGGCGGGGCACGUGAAACCCUGUCUGAACAUGGGGGGACCAUCCUCCAAGGCUAAAUACUACUGACCGACCGAUAGUGAACCAGUACCGUGAGGGAAAGGCGAAAAGAACCCCGGAGAGGGGAGUGAAAUAGAACCUGAAACCGUGUGCGUACAAGCAGUAGGAGCUCCGCAAGGAGUGACUGCGUACCUUUUGUAUAAUGGGUCAGCGACUUACUGUUCGUGGCAAGCUUAACCGUAUAGGGGAGGCGAAGGGAAACCGAGUCUGAUAAGGGCGCAUAGUCGCGGGCAGUAGACCCGAAACCGGGUGAUCUAGUCAUGCCCAGGGUGAAGGUGCGGUAACACGCACUGGAGGCCCGAACCCACUCCCGUUGCAAAGGUAGGGGAUGAGGUGUGAUUAGGAGUGAAAAGCUAAUCGAACCCGGAGAUAGCUGGUUCUCCUCGAAAGCUAUUUAGGUAGCGCCUCAUAUGUAUCCUCUCGGGGGUAGAGCACUGUUAUGGCUAGGGGGUCAUCGCGACUUACCAAACCAUUGCAAACUCCGAAUACCGAGACGGACUGUAUGGGAGACACACGGCGGGUGCUAACGUCCGUCGUGAAAAGGGAAACAACCCAGACCCACAGCUAAGGUCCCAAAUUUUGUGCUAAGUGGAAAACCAUGUGGAAAGGCACAGACAGCCAGGAGGUUGGCUUAGAAGCAGCCACCCUUUAAAGAAAGCGUAAUAGCUCACUGGUCGAGUCGGUCUGCGGGGAAGAUUUAACGGGGCUAAGCACAGAACCGAAGCUUGGGGUGCAUAACUUUGUUAUGCGCGGUAGAGGAGCGUUCCGUAAGCCGUUGAAGGUGGAUUGAGAAGUCUGCUGGAGGUAUCGGAAGUGCGAAUGCUGACAUGAGUAACGAUAAUGCGGGUGAAAAACCCGCACGCCGAAAGCCCAAGGUUUCCUUGCGCAACGUUAAUCGGCGCAGGGUGAGUCGGCCCCUAAGGCGAGGACGAAAGUCGUAGUCGAUGGGAAGCAGGUUAAUAUUCCUGCACCUCGCGUAAGUGCGAUGGAGGGACGGAGAAGGUUAGGUGUACCAGGCGUUGGUUGUCCUGGGGAAAGGCGGUAGGUUUGGAUCUUUGGCAAAUCCGGGAUCCUCUAAGACCGAGCACCGAGACGAGCCUUUAAGGCGAAGUCACUGAUACCACGCUUCCAGGAAAAGCUCCUAAGCUUCAGCUUACGCAGACCGUACCGUAAACCGACACAGGUGGGUAGGAUGAGAAUUCUCAGGCGCUUGAGAGAACUCGGGUGAAGGAACUAGGCAACAUGGCACCGUAACUUCGGGAGAAGGUGCACCCUUUUUGGUGGCUCGUGCGAGCUAUAGCUGAAGAGGGUCGCAGUAACCAGGCCGCUGCGACUGUUUAUCAAAAACACAGCACUCUGCAAACACGAAAGUGGACGUAUAGGGUGUGACGCCUGCCCGGUGCUGGAAGGUUAAUUGAUGGGGUCAGCCGCAAGGCGAAGCUCUUGAUCGAAGCCCCAGUAAACGGCGGCCGUAACUAUAACGGUCCUAAGGUAGCGAAAUUCCUUGUCGGGUAAGUUCCGACCUGCACGAAUGGCGUAACGACAGCGGCGCUGUCUCCACCCGAGACUCAGUGAAAUUGAAAUCGCUGUGAAGAUGCAGCGUUCCCGUGGCAAGACGGAAAGACCCCGUGAACCUUUACUAUAGCUUUACACUGAACGUUGAGUUCGUCUGUGUAGGAUAGGUGGGAGGCUAUGAAACCAUGGCGCUAGCUGUGGCGGAGCCAUCCUUGAAAUACCACCCUGUCGUGCUUGACGUUCUAACCUGGGCCCAUUAUCUGGGUCGGGGACCGUGUAUGGUGGGUAGUUUGACUGGGGCGGUCUCCUCCUAAAGAGUAACGGAGGAGCUCGAAGGUACGCUCAGCGCGGUCGGACAUCGCGCACUGUGUGCAAAGGCAUAAGCGUGCUUGACUGCAAGAUCGACGGAUCAAGCAGGUAGGAAACUAGGACUUAGUGAUCCGGUGGUUCUGUAUGGAAGGGCCAUCGCUCAACGGAUAAAAGGUACUCCGGGGAUAACAGGCUGAUACCGCCCAAGAGUUCAUAUCGACGGCGGUGUUUGGCACCUCGAUGUCGGCUCAUCACAUCCUGGGGCUGUAGUCGGUCCCAAGGGUAUGGCUGUUCGCCAUUUAAAGUGGUACGCGAGCUGGGUUCAGAACGUCGUGAGACAGUUCGGUCCCUAUCUGCCAUGGGCGUUGGAGAUUUGAGAGGGGCUGCUCCUAGUACGAGAGGACCGGAGUGGACGAACCUCUGGUGUUCCGGUUGUCACGCCAGUGGCAUUGCCGGGUAGCUAUGUUCGGAAGCGAUAACCGCUGAAAGCAUCUAAGCGGGAAGCGCGCCUCAAGAUGAGAUCUCCCGGGGCACAAGCCCCCUGAAGGAACCAUGUAGACUACGUGGUUGAUAGGUCAGGUGUGUAAGUACAGCAAUGUAUUGAGCUAACUGAUACUAAUGAUCCGUGCGGCUUGACCA
rnacentral:rRNA from 1 species